UACGAGAGGCCCAAACGUUAUUCGGAAUUACUGGGCUUAAAGAGUCCGUAGGCGGCGCAGAAAGUAGGGUGUGAAAGCCCUCGGCUCAACCGAGGAAUUGCGCUCUAAACUACUGUGCUUGAGGAACCUAGAGGUGAGCAGAACUGAUGGUGGAGCGGUGAAAUGCGUUGAUAUCAUCAGGAAUACCGGAGGCGAAGGCGGCUCACUGGGGGUUUCUGACGCUGAGGGACGAAAGCCAGGGGAGCGAACGGGG
rnacentral:rRNA from 1 species